rnacentral:rRNA from 1 species
ACGCGCCGCUUCGGUGGUGAGUGGCGAACGGGUGAGUAAUACAUAAGUAACCUGGCCUUUCGAGGGGGAUAACUAUUGGAAACGAUAGCUAAGACCGCAUAGGCAUAAUUCUCGCAUGAGAGUUAUGUUAAAUAUCCUAUGGGAUAGCGAGAGGAUGGACUUAUGGCGCAUUAGCUAGUUGGUGAGGGUAACGGCCCACCAAGGCGACGAUGCGUAGCCGACCUGAGAGGGUGGACGGCCACACUGGGACUGAGACACGGCCCAGACUCCUACGGGAGGCAGCAGUAGGGAAUUUUCGGCAAUGGGCGAAAGCCUGACCGAGCAACGCCGCGUGAGGGAGGAAGUAUUUCGGUAUGUAAACCUCUGUUAUAAAGGAAGAACGGCGCAUGUAGGGAAUGACAUGCGAGUGACGGUACUUUAUGAGAAAGCCACGGCUAACUACGUGCCAGCAGCCGCGGUAAUACGUAGGUGGCGAGCGUUAUCCGGAAUCAUUGGGCGUAAAGAGGGAGCAGGCGGCAACUAGGGUCUGCGGUAAAAGACCGAAGCUAAACUUCGGUAAGCCGUGGAAACCGAGGAGCUAGAGUGCAGUAGAGGAUCGUGGAAUUCCAUGUGUAGCGGUGAAAUGCGUAGAUAUAUGGAGGAACACCAGUGGCGAAGGCGACGAUCUGGGCUGCAACUGACGCUCAGUCCCGAAAGCGUGGGGAGCAAAUAGGAUUAGAUACCCUAGUAGUCCACGCCGUANACGAUGAGUACUAAGUGUU